AUGAACAUUCAAGAAGAAAUACAAAUAGCAAUUGGAAAGAACAGAGAAAAAGAAGCUUAAAGUCACUCGUGACAAAAGGAAGGUUGUCAAACUUACAGAAAAGUUGCAGGAAUGACUCAUUUUGAAUGAACACCUGUAAACUGUUUGCUCAUAUUGUCACGAGACAGAGUUGAAUCAUCCCAUCGCCACCUCUCCAGCCCCGGGCAAGCACCGUUCCACUUUGUCUCUACGGUUUUGACUACUACACUGAGCACACAGCAAGAAGGCGGUCAUCUUCACCAGAACCGGACCACGCUGGAGCUGCUACCCUUGCCUAGGACUUCCAGCUUCUAGAGCUGCUGUCCUGCACAAGCGUUUUAGAAGGGAAUUGUUCGGAGCAAGAAAGCCUGCAGAGCUGCCAGACCUGCAUUCCUCACGUCCAAAUCCCAGCCUUCCCCCAGCGCACAGAGGCCUGCAGAUCCCAGCAAGCCUGGGAGAGGGCCCUCCUGCUGUCCCUGAGCGCAGCCUUUGGUGACCCACCGCUGACCUAGUAAGUGAAUGGCUUUCCUGAGCUCUGUGUGCCAUUCUAGCAAAAUUUGGAAUCUGAGGAGGGAGUUGUGGAACCCGCACUUUAUAACCUGUUGUUUGGAAGUACUGGGGGCCUGGACUUGGACGGGCUUUGACAUGGAGGUGGGGGCAGAGCCCUUAAUCUUUGGGGUCCACCCUGAUUCUGGGUAGGCAGUAUCAGAACUGCAAUGAAAUGUAGGCUGCUGGAGAAUCGUUGGCAUGGGCCCUCAACCCUCGCUGUGGUGCUGGGAGUUCUGGGGGGCAGGAGAAUUGGUUUCCCUGCCCCAUGGGGGGAGCCUUCCCUGGGCUCAGAUGGGAGCAGGCACGGGAUGACUGCGCUCCUGGAGGGGAGGGCUGAUUUCCCAGCAGGCCCAGUCCCAGAGCGGCUUACCGCCACCGUCCCUUUGUGACAGGUGCUGUCAAAACAAAUUACCCAAAUUCAGUGGCUUAAAACAAUGCAAGUUCAUUAUG